GACGAACGCUGCGGCGUGCUUAACACAUGCAAGUCGAGCGGUAAGGCCCUUUCGGGGGUACACGAGCGGCGAACGGGUGAGUAACACGUGGGUGACCUGCCCUCAGCUCUGGGAUAAGCCGUGGGAAACCGGGUCUAAUACUGGAUAUGACUCCAUGACGCAUGUUGUGGGGUGGAAAGCCUUGUGCGGCUGAGGAUGGGCCCGCGGCCUAUCAGCUUGUUGGUGGGGUGANGGCCUACCAAGGCGACGACGGGUAGCCGGCCUGAGAGGGCGACCGGCCACACUGGGACUGAGACACGGCCCAGACUCCUACGGGAGGCA
rnacentral:rRNA from 1 species